rnacentral:rRNA from 1 species
GACGAACGCUGGCGGCGUGCCUAAUACAUGCAAGUCGUACGCAUUGACGAUGGAACUUGUUCCAUCUGACGUGAGUGGCGCACGGGUGAGUAACACGUGGGUAACCUGCCCUUCAGUGGGGGAUAACAUCCGGAAACGGGUGCUAAUACCGCAUAGUUUCUUUUUCCGCCUGGAAGAAGAAGGAAAGAUGGAGCAAUCUGCUGCUUGGGGAUGGGCCUGCGGCGCAUUAGCUAGUUGGUGGGGUAAUGGCCCACCAAGGCGACGAUGCGUAGCCGACCUGAGAGGGUGAACGGCCACACUGGGACUGAGACACGGCCCAG